rnacentral:rRNA from 1 species
AACGUAGGAGACAAACGUUAUCCGGAGUUACUGGGCGUAAAGGGCUCGUAGGUGGCCAACUAAGUCGGACGUGAAAUCCCUCGGCUUAACCGGGGAACUGCGUCUGAUACUGGAUGGCUUGAGUUCGGGAGAGGGAUGCGGAAUUCCAGGUGUAGCGGUGAAAUGCGUAGAUAUCUGGAGGAACACCGGUGGCGAAGGCGGCAUCCUGGACCGACACUGACGCUGAGGAGCGAAAGCCAGGGGAGCAAACGGG